rnacentral:rRNA from 1 species
UCGCCUGUUUAUCAAAAACAUUGCCUCUUGUUUUACCAUAAAAGGUAAAUUCUGCCCAGUGAAUAUUUUAACGGCCGCGGUACCCUGACCGUGCGAAGGUAGCAUAAUCAUUUGUCCUUUAAUUGGGGACUAGUAUGAAUGAAUAAACGUAGAGCACCCUGUCUCAUGGAAAUCAAUAGAAAUUUACCUUUAGGUGAAGAGGCCUAAAUACUAAUAAAAGACAAGAAGACCCUAUCAAGCUUUUUAUAUUUAUAUACUAUUAAUAAUAAUUAUAAUUAAUUGGGGCGAUUUUAAAUAAAACCAAACAUUUACAAAUAAUAAGAAAAAUAAUUCUAUAUUUAUUAACUAUAAAAUAAACAUAAGAAAGCUACUGUAGGGAUAACAGGCUAAUAUUUUCUGAGAGUCCUUAUCAACGAAAAUGUUUGGCACCUCGAUGUUGGCUUAGGAACCCAAAUUUGUGCAGAAGCAAAUUCUGGUGGUUUGUUCAACCAUUAAAUUCCUACAUGAUCUGAGUUCAAACCGGAG